GUCUACAAUCCCAAAUGUGACUCAUCUUGAGUAGGUGAUCGAAAUAUUCUUUUCCUGAUAUAUGUGAUUUAUAAUUGAAAUUUAGAUGUCUGUGUCACUUGCCAUGAAUAUGCCACCUGCCAUGAAAGAGGAGGGAAGAAGAUGUGUAUUUGCAACUACGGAUUUGUGGGCAAUGGGAGGACUCAUUGUAUUGAUAAAAACGAGUGCCAGAUGGGAGCCACUGUGGUCUGCGGGAACCACACGUCUUGCCACAACACUCUGGGAGGCUUUUAUUGCAGUUGCCUGGAAGGAUAUCGAGCCACAAACAACAACAAGACAUUCAUCCCCAACGAUGGUACCUUCUGCACAGAUAUAGAUGAGUGUGAGGUUUCCGACCUGUGCAGGCAUGGAGGACGGUGCGUGAACACUCAUGGGAGCUUUGAGUGCUACUGUAUGGAAGGAUACUUGCCAAGGAGCGGGCCUGAGCCUUUCCACCCGACCAGAGAUGCCACGUCAUGCACAGAAAUAGACUGUGGCACCCCUCCUGAGGUCCCAGAUGGCUAUAUCAUAGGAAAUUAUACCUCUAGGCUUGGUGACCAGGCUCAUUAUGCUUGCAAAGAAGGAUUUUUCAGUGGCUCAGAAGAUACAGUUUCAAGAUGCACAGCCUUGGGCACAUGGGAGUCCCCAAAAUUAAACUGCCAAGAGAUCAACUGUGGCCGCCCUCCGGAAGUGCAGCACGCGGUCCUGGUGGGGAACCACAGCUCCAGCCUGGGCGGUGUGGCUCACUAUGUCUGUCUGGAGGGCUUUGAGAGCCCUGGAGGAAAGAUCACUUCCGUCUGCACAGAGAAAGGCACCUGGAAAGCAAGUACUUUGUCAUGCACAGAAAUAACUAUAGAAAUUAAUGACGUAUCUGUGUUUAACAACACCUGUGUGAGGUGGCGAAUAAACCCAGGAAGAAUAAACUCCAAGACUGCAUACCUGGUGCACAUAAAAGGACACCGGUUGGACUCAAUGGAAUCAGUUCAUGAGGAGACGGUCAAUUUGACCACAGAGAGCAGGACCCCAGAAGUGUGCCUAGAUCUGCACCAGGGCACCAACUACACCGUCAGCAUUUCUGCCGCCCCUCCCAGACGCUCUGUGCCAGCCAUCAUUGGGUUCCAGACAGCUGAGGAUGAUCUCUUAGAAGAUGAUGGGAUUUUCAAUAUUUCAAUAUUUAAUGAAGCUUGUUUAAAAUUGAACAGGCAUUCUAGGAAAGUUGGAUCAGAACGCAUGUACCAAUUUCAAGUUCUGGGUCAAAAGUGGUAUCUGAGUCAUUUUUAUCACGCAACAUCAUUGAACUUCACAACGAGGGAACAAGCUGCCGUGGUGUGUUUAGAUCUCUAUCCAGCAACUAAUUACACCGUGAACGUCACCCUCCUGGGAUCUCCCGAGCAGCACUCGGUGCAAACGACAGUAACCACACCAGCCGUAAAACAGACCAUCAGUAACAUUUCAAUAUUUAAUGAAACCUGCUUGAGAUGGAGAAGUUUGAAGACAGCUGAUGUAGAGGAGAUGUACUUAUUCCACAUUUGGGGCCAGAGAUGGUAUCAGAAGGAAUUUGCCCAGGAAAUGAUCUUUAAUAUCACUGCCAGCAGCCAGGCUCCUGAGACCUGUUUGGACCUGCAUCCUGGUACCAACUACAGUGUCACUGUCCAGGCUUUGUCUUCUCAGAGUCCUGUGGUCAUCUCCCUGACAACCCAGAUAACAGAGCCUCCUCUUCCGGAAGUAGACUUCUUCGCCGUGUGGGGUAGGGCUCUGCCACGCCUGAGGCUGCGGAGAGCCGAGGAGAAAAAUGGACCUGUCAGUUCAUAUCAGGUGUUGGUGCUCCCCCUGGCCCUCCACAGCACAUUUGCGUGCGAUUCUGAAGACGCUACCUCAUUCUUUAGCAAUACUUCUGAUGUUAAUGGAUACGUGGCUGCAGAACUACUGGCCAAAGAUGUUCCCGAUGAUGCCACGGAGAUAUCUAUCGGAGACAGGCUGUACUAUGGGAAAUAUUAUAACGCACCCUUGAAAACAGGGAAUGAUUACUGCAUUGUAUUACGAAUCACAAGUGAAUGGGAUAAGGUGAAAAGAAGCUCCUGUGCACUCUGGGCCCGGGUAAAAGGGGCCGUUGUGUGUGCAGCACGGAAGACGGGCCCAGCCUCCUUUCUCAUCUCGCACCAUAGGGUUCAGAUUCAGCGUCCCCCUUCACCCCAGCCUGCACUACCGCCCGGCGUUUUUCUAAAGUGCAGCGCUGAUUUUAUGACUUCCCCUGACGGCGCCUGCAUAGUUCUCCAACAGUUCUCAGUCUGGUUUCCAAGACCUCAGGUGGCCACCAAUGUCCUCUUCUCCAUUCAAACUGACGUGCCAGCUCUGUUCUGGAUACGGCCCUUGCUUUCCCUCCUUAAUGUCUUUGCUCAUACGAUUACUUGCUCACUUCCCCCCGGAUUGCCCUGUAACCUUCCUGUAAUUUCUGUUUAUUACAGUCCCUCCCGUUCUUCAAGAUUAAAAUCAAAUGCCGUCUCCUCUUUGACACUUUUUACAACUUCCUCAACCGGACAGAAUCUCUCCCCCUCUCUCUUUAGCCAUCCUGCUGUAAUUGCAAGCAGCUGGUGCACUUGUCUCUUCUUACUUGAUUUCGUCCCCUUGAGGGAGGGCAUUUGAAGAGCUGCAUGGUGCCUGGCACACAUGAGACGCCUAAUGAGGAUUUAUUGAAUCGGGCUGAAUGAUUCCCGGGGAACCAGCAGGACAGUCUGAUUGUAAAAGGAAGCAUAGUAGGAGCAAUACUUAUCAAAUUAAAAAGCCAGAGAAGACUGACAUCAAGAUAUAAGCCUGGUGUGUAUGUAUACGUAUGAAUACGCUGCACCUGUGUUUGUGUACACACGUACACAUGCACCCAUUUUAAACCUUCGUCAUUGUAGUAGGUAGAAUUCUCAUACGACCUCACAAAUUCCUGGUCCCUGGGGUACACCCACCUUCUCUCCGUUACUCAUUCAAAAGCUCUUCUAAGUGUUGCUGUGAAAGGAUUUGAAGAUGUAAUUAAGGUCCCAAAUAGAGAGAUUAUCCAGAUAGACCUGACCUAAUGACUACAUGAACCCUUUAAAUCUGUGUCUAGAGGUCACAGACCGGGGAAACUGGAGACUGAAAGGGAGAGAUGGAUUUGGCAUAAGGGUUUCUCCUGCUGGCUUUGAAGAUGCAGGGGACCACACGGCAGGAAUGUGGGCAGCCCGUAGGAGCUGAGUGGCCAGUAAGAAUAUGGGACCCUCAGUCUUACAACGACAAGGAGCUGAAUUUAGCCCAUAACCUGCAUGAGCUUGGAAGCAGAUUCUUCCCCGGGGCCCCUAGAGGGAAAUGCAGCCCACCUGCCUUGACCGUAGCCUUGUAAGACCCUGAGCGGAGGACUCAGUCACAAUGUGCCUGAACUUCUGACCCAUGAAACUGUGAGCUAAUAAAUGGGUGGUAGCUGCCAAGUGUAUGGUAAUUUGUUCAGCUGCCACUGAAGAUGAAUUCAGUAAUGUUGCUGGUUCAUGAGCCUUUACUUACCUCCAAAUUAGCUAUCUACUUCAGUCUCCUUUGCCAUCUCCUGCUUGCAGGGGGUUCAAGUGAGGGGACCCCAGAAUAGCAGAGAUGAAUUUCACACACUAAAUAGAAGUCACAGUGCUAAUUAUUAUCAUACAUUUGUGCCUUUCCAACAACCGAAUUGUUGCUUUCAGGAAAUGACCCUGCUGGUGUAAAUCCAUGAAAAACUGUCCACAGCCCUAUAGGAAGUCCUCAAGCUGUCACGAAGUCUGAGAGUAGGAACAGGGCCUUUCUAACCGGCUCUUCAACACCUGUGAUGUUUACGGUAGUCUAAGGGUUAGAGAUAAGCCCGUGGAAGCCCUGUCACUCCUCCUGAGCCACCCUGCGGAGAUUGGUGGAGUUUGAGCCUAAUGGAUUUCCUCGCUUUCGAAUGAGUCAUUGAGAAUCUGGGGUGUAACUCGUGAUUCACUCAUUUGGGUUUUUAAAAGAACAUUCUGCAAGUGAUUUAGAAGGAAAAUAAGUUUGGUUUCAUGGCAGGAGACCUUGGAAGGGAGGGUAACCAGAGGAUGACAAAGCUCUAAAAAAUGUAAUUCACGUUGGCCAGUUGUAAGUUUCCUUGGUAAAGAAUUAACAUGGGAAGUCCCUAAAGAAGCCUGGGGCUACACCGUGAGCGCUCAGGAUUAGGUUGACUCAGAUGUUCAAGAGAGUUCAUAUACAAAGCAGAAAAAAGACGUAUAACCAGGAACUGUUCAACCAGCAAGAAUCAUGCCUGGAGCUACAGCCCGAGUCAUGUUAUGCAGAGUGAAUAAGGGUGAUUUCCCAGUACUUACCUUUAGAGUAGAACAUAGGUGGGCUCCCUGCUAAGGGUGAAGGUCGUCCUGCUGCUGGAUGGUCAGGAGAACGUCAGGUUCCUCAGCUCCUACUUUGCUGCUUUCCUGUGGUUUGUGAGGAGGGGGUAUUUGAAAGCAAAAGAACAGCUAACCUGCUCUCUGUAAGUUAAAGUCUUCUGACUUGGAUGAAGCACCUUCUAGCAGGUUGUUACAACUUGCAAAGGAGAUGGAGAAACCACUGCAAGUGAUCUUUGAGAAAUCUUAAUGAAGAAGGGAAAAAUAAGUAGACUGGGGGUGAACAAAGAACAUAGAACUCUGUAUAAGGGAGACAGAUUUUGCAAAGUAUGGCUGAGGAAGACUUGAAGUCAAAGCCAGGCAAGAUCUUCAAGAGACGGUUCUGUGUCUAUCUGGGAGAAGAAGCCACGGUUCCCAGCAGUCAGUCUGGGACCUAUGAGCAGAUUAGGUUCAUCGCUCGUGCUGCCGCAGAUGGUGGGUGUUGCGCUGUGCUCCAUGGCUGCUGUGAUUGUCCUCGCAUUCCUCUCCUUCUCAGCGGCCUGACUGCAGGUGGGUGCUACGUGAAAGGGACGCGCUGCUGCUGGCGCAGAUGUUAUGACAGCUUCUCAGGUGCUUUCACCGAGGCCUCUGAGUGUGGGCCUGCAACUUUCUCCAUUCCCAGGUUGGCCCCCUUCCUGUACUCAAGACACUGACUGCCUCUUUGGAAUCCCCCCAAAGGAGGACCCGUGGGAAUAGCUGAUGUCUUCCCUGCUCACAACCGGUUCUGUGUCUCUGAACUUGAGAUCCUUGAUAAACAAAGUAGCAUUGACCACAGGCUGCAGGUCCCGUGGGUGGGCCCAUGUUCCCCUCUGAGUGAUGCCUGAGAGUCAGCCCCCCAAGACACGGAAUGCAAGAGAGUCUCUCCGUCUUCCUUUAUAGCGUCUCUCUUACUAAUUCAGAAUCCAUUCUUUCACAGUAAGUAAUGAGAUAAGACUUAAGUGUAGGCUAGAAUGUAACUUUGUGAAGGAGGUCAUUGGAAAGGAUAGAGAUCAGUGACAUAGGCCAAGGUGUCAGACCCUUUAGAAGCCUCUUUCCUACAAGUACGUUAAUUGGAAAGCAUGCUAGCCGGGCCCCUCCGGCAAGUUCCCCGCAGCGUCUGUUAGGCAGCAUUGCUUUGACCCAGUCCUGUUUGUCUUAAAUGUAUUCAAAAGCCGUAAGUCUUCAUUCCAGUAAAAACAUUCUGUUCAUCUUAGACAGCUCUUCUCUUCCACAUGAAUGUUUAUAGCAGCUUUGGUUAAUUUUUUUUUAACUGAGUGUUUUCUAAAAAUGCUCUCUAUCCCUCCUUUUAGGUUCGGUGGUCAUGCGGUAACAAUGGGUUGAAACAAUAUCAAGCCCAUGGCCAGAGUCCAUGUGUUUACAGGGGAGGGGAGCUAUGUGGGUGACAUUAUCAUCCCUUUUUAUCUACAACGUCAGUAACUGUGAAUGCCACUUUAUCAUGAAUGAUGACACUUUGGGUGUAAGCAGUCCCGAGCGCACUGGCAAUGUGCGGAAUUUACAGCUGGAGUGUAUUAGAUUUGACUUUUAAGCCCGAAUCAGUGUCCUUGAACUGUCCUCCCUAACCGACAGUGUAACUCCAAGGCUCAGCAAGGAACGGAGGGAGAAGGAUGGUGGCUCGUGGCUUCUCUGAGUGACAGUGGUGCCCUCCUCCACCUUCUCCCUCCCUCUCCAAGCCUGGAGAGCAGAUAGCAUGGGAUGGAGAAGGGGCGACAGUUAGAUUGCACAACUCAGGGUGCAGCAUGUAAGGACGCGGUCCUGGAAUUGGGCAGCUUUGUGAUCCUGAGGAGAAGGGACCGUCUUUCUGACGUGGUGGACUGGCAUGGUGGGUGGGCUUGGGCUUCAGUGAGGCACAGAUCGGAGCCCGCGCUUGUGAGCAGCUGAGAAGACACGAGCAACAGUAGAAACAGGUGGAAGCUCUAUGAAGCUACUCCCCCUGCCGGGGAUCUGGCCCAAAGCUUAAGCUCUCAGCAAGGAGGAGUCAGAUUAUUCAAGGCUAACUGUCAGCCCUGCCCUUCCACCAGUGUUAGGCAGUAUUAGGAGUCAUUGUCCCUUGUCCUCUGAGGUACCACCCAGACACAACUUAGCAUCAAUGUGUGGAGUGUAGAACCCUUCCUGCUCUCAUCUCAGGUGAAUUACAGAGUAAAGCUCUCAAUAGGCUAGUACAGAUAGCUUCCUACUUUUAAUUUUUAUGCACAACAGUUGAACUCAUACUGUUUUCACAGCUGUUGAAUUAAAUUUGAAAUCAUUACAAAUGAUUGUAGUUAAUAUUGGGUAGGGUCUGUGAUGAGGAAGGAUUUUCCUAACAAAGCCUCCUUCAUCCAAAGAGAGAAACUAAACCUCUCUUCUUCAUUAUUUUUUAACCGGCUCCGUAACACCACGCUUCUGUAGUCCCGCUAAUUUCUAGUUCUAGAAUUAACUGCCAGAGAAGCUGCAGUUGUCCACAUGGAAACUUGGCAUGAUUGUCCUUGAAAGGAAGAAAUCCCACUUGCUUGGUAUCAACAAGUCUCUGGUUAAAAUAAGUGACUAAAUAUUAAGUAAAAUGUACUUCUGGGGACAGAGCAGAAAUGUACAAGCAGUUCAUGAAAGAAAUGAGAACCGCCAAAACAUAGACUUUGUCCCUCCCUCUGAAUGUUCCAAAUUGUUAACACAGAGUUGCUCGGUGUUAAUACUUAACCGAAGCAGGUGCUGAGCAUUUGCAAGAAGGAGGCAGCAUUUUCCUGCAGUUCUUCUCUGACCGUUUUCUCAUACACAUGAAGGCAGCUUUAAGGUCUCUGGAUUUGCCAGGGAGCUUUUUACGACAAAAAGCUCUUUUGUCUCCCAAGUGGAUUCCUGGUAAAGGCAGAGAGAGCAUCUGAGGAGACUGAUAGUGAAUCUUCCUAGGAUCAUGCAGGGUCCUUCUGUCCAAGGAUUGAUCGAGCAGCACUUGGAGUUGGGUUGUGAGUGCCCCUGAGUGAAGCUAGAUCCCCAGGUGGGGAUGGGGGAAGGAGCUUUCCCUUAACCGUCUUGGGGAGGCGAGCACUACGAUCCAGUCUACGACUAGGGCUCAAAAUCAGGGGGUUGCCCAGAUAUGGGGCAGAUUGCUUGGCCCCUCUAGUUUUGUUUUUUUUAAACAUUUUUUAUUGAUUUAUAAUCAUUUUACAAUGUUGUGUCAAAUUCCAGUGUUCAGCACAAUUUUUCAGUCAUUCAUGG